GACGAACGCUGGCGGCGUGCUUAACACAUGCAAGUCGAACGGAAAGGCCCUGCUUUUGUGGGGUGCUCGAGUGGCGAACGGGUGAGUAACACGUGAGUAACCUGCCCUUGACUUUGGGAUAACUUCAGGAAACUGGGGCUAAUACCGGAUAGGAGCUCCUGCUGCAUGGUGGGGGUUGGAAAGUUUCGGCGGUUGGGGAUGGACUCGCGGCUUAUCAGCUUGUUGGUGGGGUAGUGGCUUACCAAGGCUUUGACGGGUAGCCGGCCUGAGAGGGUGACCGGCCACAUUGGGACUGAGAUACGGCACAGACUCCUACGGGAGGCAGCAGUGGGGAAUAGUGCACAAGGGGCGGAAGCCUGAUGCAGCAAAGCCGCGUGCGGGAUGACGGCCUGCGGGUUGUAAACCGCUUUCGCCUGUGACGAAGCGUGAGUGACGGUAAUGGGUAAAGAAGCACCGGCUAACUACGUG
rnacentral:rRNA from 1 species